UAACAUGUAUAAUCAAUUAUACUUUGAAAUCAUGAAAAUAACAGAUAGAUAACAUAUAAAACUAUGUUUUAAUGAUUAACAAAAUAUAUGUUGGUUUUUGUACAAUAUCCCAUAUGAGAGCAUAUCAAACUAUACUUUUGGGAGUAUAACUUAAUAUACAAAAAUAAUGUGAUUUAAGAAUUCAUUCAGAUCUAGUGUAUCAAAAUACACCUUUGAGACUAUAGAAAUACCACAAAGGCAAUCCCUAUUUGGAUGGAGCAACAAAUUGGUUUCAGACAUUCCAUGACAACAGGAAUGGGGUGUCAAAUCCUAUAGCGCUAUAUCAUACUACCAACCGGUCUGGUGAACAAAAAUAAGUACUAUUCCAACAAUUAAUUUCAUAAUCUUUGAAAAAUCAGUGUUUAAACCAUAGAUAGUCAUUUAGUUUGUCAAAAGAUAAGUACUAACAUGUAUAAUCAAUUAUACUUUGAAAUCAUGAAAAUA
rnacentral:lncRNA from 1 species